CAGUAGCCGCGGUAAUACGAAGGGUGCAAGCGUUAAUCGGAAUUACUGGGCGUAAAGCGUGCGUAGGCGGUGAGUUAAGUCUGCUGUGAAAUCCCCUGGCUCAACCUGGGAAUGGCAGUGGAUACUGGCUCGCUAGAGUGUGUCAGAGGAUGGUGGAAUUCCCGGUGUAGCGGUGAAAUGCGUAGAGAUCGGGAGGAACAUCAGUGGCGAAGGCGGCCAUCUGGGACAACACUGACGCUGAGGCACGAAAGCGUGGAGAGCAAACAGGAUUAGAUACCCCCGUAGUCCCUGUCUCUUAUAC
rnacentral:rRNA from 1 species